UUAAGUCACGUGGGAUUUAGAAAAAUGAAUAGCACGCUUCACUCUUUGAUUUUUUCACUGAAGUUUGGAUAUUCUCAUUGAACCAAAUUGGUUUGGAUCCCUUAACUUCCUGAACUGCUUAUUGUUUUGGAACUCAUUGCUUUGAACUGAACUGCUUUUUUUUUGGAUUAUAUGUCUGUGUUGGUACGCUUAGACAACUUGCUCUGUUUCUGCAGGUUUUCUUGGUUUUUGAUUCUGCAACAGGGUAAUGGUUACGACUCAAAUUCCAUUUCUUGCCUUGCAUUGCCAACUGUUAUGGAUUUUGCUGGUGUAGCCAUUAGAAUCACCUUGAUCCUCUUUUGCAGGUAGCUCUGAAGUUGCAGUGGGAUGCUUGGUUGAUAUGACUUAGCUCAAGUCAAAUGUUCCAACUCUAGUCAUUAUGUAUUGAUCUGGUUAGGUUCCUUGUAGCAUGGCAUUGCAGCAGGAUAGGGUGUUUUAGUUCCCACCAUUUCAGAAACUACACAAUCAGAGAUACAACUGUCACCUGCUAGGGAAGGUUUAACCACAACUCUGCAACAUGAUACGUGUCGGAUUGCAGGUUGUAUGCCCAUGAGUUACUGCAGGAACGUGUUUGUAGCAUGUAAUGCAUGUCCUGUUUUGGGUCUGCAAUAGGGCUUGCUUGGAUGUGACCAGCCUGCUGCAAGAAUGUAAUUUACUUGCAGUUUAGCUUGGUGCAGCUGCUGGCUCAUGCUAGUUCUGCACAAUAGGGUCUGCACCGUAAUUCUGGUUCAGUUCCUUGCCAUGCUCACUCCCUUGGCCUUGUUUCUUUUGGCAAGUCAUGCUCCAACAAAUCCAUUUCUAAAUGCUCUACAUUACUUGGUGUUAAUUGCCUUGAAUUCUAGUAUGUGGCUCACUUUUAUGCAGGUUUUUGGUGGUAUUUAAAUGCAGAAAUUUGGUUUUGGAAUGCAGAAUUUUUGCUGUAUUUUAUGCAGAGUUUUUGUGUGUUUUAUGCAGAGUUUUUAUGCAGAAUUUUGGAUGCACUUUAAUGCAGAAUUUUGUUUAUGCAAUGCAGAAUUUCUAAUGCAGAA